AUGGCGGAGCGGGGAGAAGACGAGCCGGGAGCCCGGCCGGGGCCGGGACGGGGCUAGGGGGCAGUGAGCGAUGCCCUCGGGGCUGGGGGCGCGAGCACCGCUUGCCCAGGGGUGCGGGGACCGUGAUCUUCCUCCCGGUGGCUGGUUCUGCCUCGGCAGUUACGGCAGCGGCGAAGCGGGGGGAGCGCCGCCUAGUAAACUGAGGUGAAGCACAGGCAUUACAAGGAGGCACCCUUUCGUAGAAAUGGCAAAUCCACGUGUGUGUGACUACACAACCCUGCUCUAAAACUCAGCAGCCUGCAAGACUAUGUGGUGACUAAAGAACAUGAGAAAGCAUAAUACCACAAGAGCAAAAACUGAAAGGAAAAAUGAUUUCUGAUCUCUUUUUUUUUAUACACGAGCAUAAUUCAAAUGUGUUGAAGUUGGAAUGAUUUGCAAUACACAUUCAAUACUUUCGAUUCAACUAGAGGUGGCUGCUGUCAAUACAUAUGCUGUUGAAACCCCAAAGGUCUUCCUAGAAAAUCAAUAAAAAUCUAAUUUUACAAUCCUGAUAUUUUGAGAGUGUUUUAAAAAUUGGCAAAACCCCACUCUUUUUUGUACAUUUAAAAAAGCCAGUAAGGUGCAUUAUUGAUUUUUCACAAAUCAUUUUUAAGUCCCUGUUAAGGCUGGAUGAGAAUGAGAAGAUAUAGUACUAACACAAGUCUUGCAUGCGUUUCACACACCACAUAUAUAGUAUGGGUCUUCAAAGU